CGGGGGGUGGGAACUGGGCGCCCCAGGCCCCAGAGCUGCCCCCACGGGGGUUAAGGUGCCCCAGGAGCACGGCCGGGGGGUGGGAGCUGGGCGCCCCAGGCCCCAGAGCUGCCCCCACGGGGGUUAAGGUGCCCCAGGAGCGCGGCCGGGGGGGUGGGAGCUGGGCGCCCCAGACCCAGAGCUGCCCCCAUGGGGGUUAAGGUGCCCCAGGAGCACGGCCGGGGGGUGGGAACUGGGCGCCCCAGGCCCCAGAGCUGCCCCCACGGGGGUUAAGGUGCCCCAGGAGCGCGGCCGGGGGGUGGGAACUGGGCGCCCCAGGCCCCAGAGCUGCCCCCACGGGGGUUAAGGUGCCCCAGGAGCACGGCCGGGGGGUGGGAACUGGGCGCCCCAGGCCCCAGAGCUGCCCCCACGGGGGUUAAGGUGCCCCAGGAGCGCGGCCGGGGGGUGGGAGCUGGGUGCCCCAGGCCUGCCCCCACGGGGGUUAAGGUGCCCCAGGAGCACGGCCGGGGGGUGGGAGCUGGGGGCCCCAGACCCAGAGCUGUCCCCACGGGGGUUAAGGUGCCCCAGGAGCACGGCCGGGGGGUGGGAACUGGGCGCCCCAGGCCCCAGAGCUGCCCCCACGGGGGUUAAGAUGCCCCAGGAGCGCGGCCGGGGGGUGGGAGCUGGGCGCCCCAGGCCUGCCCCCACGGGGGUUAAGGUGCCCCAGGAGCGCGGCCGGGGGGUGGGAGCUGGGCGCCCAGGCCCCAGAGCUGCCCCCACGGGGGUUAAGGUGCCCCAGGAGCGCGGCCGGGGGGUGGGAGCUGGGCGCCCCAGACCCAGAGCUGCCCCCACGGGGGUUAAGGUGCCCCAGGAGCGCGGCCGGGGGGUGGGAGCUGGGCGCCCCAGGCCCCAGAGCUGCCCCCACGGGGGUUAAGGUGCCCCAGGAGCACGGCCGGGGGGUGGGAGCUGGGCGCCCCAGGCCCCAGAGCUGCCCCCACGGGGUUAAGGUGCCCCAGGAGCACGGCCGGGGGGUGGGAGCUGGGCGCCCCAGGCCCCAGAGCUGCCCCCACGGGGGUUAAGGUGCCCCAGGAGCGCGGCCGGGGGGUGGGAGCUGGGCGCCCCAGGCCCCAGAGCUGCCCCCACGGGGGUUAAGGUGCCCCAGGAGCGCGGCCGGGGGGUGGGAGCUGGGCGCCCAGGCCCCAGAGCUGCCCCCACGGGGGUUAAGGUGCCCCAGGAGCGCGGCCGGGGGUGGGAGCUGGGCGCAGGCCUGGGAGAGGCCACUGGGCCUCAGGACUCCUGGGUCCUCGGGGGGCGUCGGGUCUCCCAGUACGGCCAGGGCAGGGCCUGUCCCUGCAGCGGCCCCCGGCCGGGCCCACACCGGGGGCUUGUGCAGGUUGGCUGACGGGCG